GGAUGGCUGAAAUAUGAUGAGUAUACAAAAUCUUGAUAAAAAAUGAGAACAUAUAAGAUCCAACUCUGAUUUCAUCCAGAG
ensembl:snoRNA small nucleolar RNA, C/D box 19B